AGAACGAACGCUGGCGGCAGGCUUAACACAUGCAAGUCGAACGCCCCGCAAGGGGAGUGGCAGACGGGUGAGUAACGCGUGGGAAUCUACCCAGUUCUACGGAAUAACACAGGGAAACUUGUGCUAAUACCGUAUACGCCCUACGGGGGAAAGAUUUAUCGGGAUUGGAUGAGCCCGCGUUGGAUUAGCUAGUUGGUGGGGUAAUGGCCUACCAAGGCGACGAUCCAUAGCUGGUCUGAGAGGAUGAUCAGCCACACUGGGACUGAGACACGGCCCAGACUCCUACGGGAGGCAGCAGUGGGGAAUAUUGGACAAUGGGCGCAAGCCUGAUCCAGCCAUGCCGCGUGAGUGAUGAAGGCCUUAGGGUUGUAAAGCUCUUUCAGUGGGGAAGAUAAUGACGGUACCCACAGAAGAAGCCCCGGCUAACGUUCGUGCCAGCAGCCGC
rnacentral:rRNA from 1 species